UACGUAGGGGGCAAGCGUUGUCCGGAAUCAUUGGGCGUAAAGAGCGUGUAGGCGGCUCGGUAAGUCCGCUGUGAAAGUCUAGGGCUCAACCCUGGAAUGCCGGUGGAAACUGUCGAGCUAGAGUCCGGAAGAGGCGAGUGGAAUUCCUGGUGUAGCGGUGAAAUGCGCAGAUAUCAGGAGGAACACCAAUGGCGAAGGCAGCUCGCUGGGACGGUACUGACGCUGAGACGCGAAAGCGUGGGGAGCAAACAGG
rnacentral:rRNA from 1 species